AUUGAACGCUGGCGGCAGGCCUCACACAUGCAAGUCGAACGAGUGGCGGACGGGUGAGUAAUGUCUGGGAAACUGCCUGAUGGAGGGGGAUAACUCCUGGAAACGGUAGCUAAUACCGCAUAACAUAGGAUGUGCCCAGAUGGGAUUAGCUAGUAGGUGGGGUAAAGGCUCUCCUAGGCGACGAUCCCUAGCUGGUCUGAGCGGAUGACCGGCCAGACUGGAACUGAGACACGUGCCAGACGCCUAAGGAAGGCAGCAGGUGUGAAUAUUGGACAAUGGGAGCAAGCCUGAUGCAGCCAGGCCGCGUGUAUGAUGAAGGCCUUCGGGUUGUAAAGUACUUGCAGCGGGGAGGCGUUACCCGCAGAAGAAGCACCGGCUAACUCCGUGCCAGCAGCCGCGGUAAUAC
rnacentral:rRNA from 1 species